AAACAAAAAAAAAAAAAAAAAAAACGUCUGCAUCAUCUUCUUCGCCGUCAUGUCGCGUCGCAUGCUGUCGGCAUGAGGGACUAAUGUCUGUUUUUUUCUUUUUCUUCCUUUAGUUUU
rnacentral:ribozyme from 1 species